GAUGAAGAACGUAGCGAAAUGCGAUACGUAAUGUGAAUUGCAGAAUUCAGUGAAUCAUCGAAUCUUUGAACGCAUAUUGCGCUCUCUGGUAUUCCGGAGAGCAUGCUUGUUUGAGUAUCAGUAAACACCUCAACUUCCAUAUCUUUUUUGAAAUGGGAGUUGGACUUGAGUGAUCCCAACGCUUUUCCUCACCGAAAAGUGGCGGGUUACUUGAAAUGCAGGUGCAGCUGGACUUUUCUCUGAGCUAUAAGCAUAUCUAUUUAGUCUGCCUAAAAACAGAUUAUUACCUUUGCUGCAGCUAACAUAAAGGAGAUUAGUUCUUGUGCUGACUGAUGCAGGAUUCACAAAGAUAGGCUUCGGCCGUCUUUGUAAACUCGAUCUCAAAUCAAGUAAGACUACCCGCUGAACUUAAGCAUAUCAAUAAGCGGAGGA
rnacentral:misc_RNA from 1 species